rnacentral:lncRNA from 1 species
AAAUGAUCAAAUGAUUCAAAUCCAUAACAUCAGUUGCAGAAGGUGAGAAGGAAACGUAAAACAUGAUGCAGAAGCAUCAAAUACAUAACACAUAUUCGACGAUCAAAGAGAAAUGCAUAAAUAAAACACUUCAAACUUCAAAGAGAAACAGAAAGAAAAGGAGUAACAAAAGAGACGUAAGAUUUCCAGAAUUGUGAGGAGGAGUGACUUGUGACUUGUGUGGCUUGUGAGACGUGAAACUGCAACACAAAAAGAGACUCUACAUAUUUGAAACUGCAACAUGAAGACGAAAUGAACUCAAUUUCAUAUUAAAGCAAAUGAAAACUCUAAUCUCCAAAUCGAUUUCAUUGUUAAAAAAACCCUAAAACCAAUUUCAAAGUUAAGAGAUUCUACAUACUUGAUAUAUUGACAGAAAUUAGUAGUAUAAAGAAAAAAAAAACAAAGGAAAUGAAAUCAGUUUCAUAUUUAAACAAAUGAAAACCCUAACCCCCAAAUCAAUUUUUCCCAAUUACAGAGCCGGAUAUAAAAUGGGAAGAGAAGGAGAAGAAGCUUAGUUCCGUUGAUUUCUCGACGCUGCGGAUGGAGUCGGCGACACGCGAUGGCUUCUGAGAUAUUUUGAGUUGUUUUAACUUUUAUCGAAGAGAAGAGGAAGAAAUUAAGAGAGGAGAAUGUUUGAAAGAGGAGAAGAGGUUUAUUCCAAAAAAAAAAAAAAAAAAAAAAAGAGGAGAAGAGGAAGGAAGGCGUGUAUAAUUUUGUGUAUAU